GAUGAACGCUAGCUACAGGCUUAACACAUGCAAGUCGAGGGGAAACGAUAGAGAAAGCUUGCUUUUUCUAGGCGUCGACCGGCGCACGGGUGAGUAACGCGUAUCCAACCUGCCCACCACUUGGGGAUAACCUUGCGAAAGUAAGACUAAUACCCAAUGACGUCUCUAGAAGACAUCUGAAAGAGAUUAAAGAUUUAUCGGUGAUGGAUGGGGAUGCGUCUGAUUAGCUUGUUGGCGGGGUAACGGCCCACCAAGGCGACGAUCAGUAGGGGUUCUGAGAGGAAGGUCCCCCANAUUGGAACUGAGACACGGUCCAAACUCCUACGGGAGGCAGCAGUGAGGAAUAUUGGUCAAUGGACGAGAGUCUGAACCAGCCAAGUAGCGUGCAGGAUGACGGCCCUA
rnacentral:rRNA from 1 species